GUGCUCACGAUGAUGGCAGCACCUAUACUAAAGUUGGAAUGAAGCAGAGGCUUAGCAUAGCCCUUGUGCAAAUAUGACACAUAAAUUCAUGAAGUGGUCCAUAUUUAA